AAACGGAGAAUUCGAUUGGCGUGAUUUUUUUGCACGGAUAUACAUAGUUAAAGACCCGGAGAAGUCACAUAGGAUACUUUUUAUCCCAGAAAAUCAAAGAGUUCCCACGGGAUUUUUAAAAACCUACAUCCACGCGAACGAAGUCGCGGGUAUCAGCUAGUUGUUAUA